AUGACUAUUGUGGGAGAGUGCAUUAUGAUAGGCCACCGAAGGGGCAAGUUCCGAAAAGACCCUUGGAACAAAUCUCUCAGGUAGAAGAACCACAAUUAGGAC
rnacentral:ncRNA from 2 species